rnacentral:tRNA from 1 species
GCGGCAGUAGAUCAGUGGUAGAGCCCCCGCUUGCGGGGAGACGAGACCCGGGUUCGAUUCCCGGCUGCUUCG